CCUUCAACUUUCACAAAGCCUCACGACCCUUUACUCACGCUUUCUCUCUGACUCAUUUUGCUAAUCACUCUAAGUACAGUACUAACUUUCCAUCCACUCUGUUUUCUGAGCACUGAGAAUUCCAAACCUCCAAUUGUCAAAUUUACCACAACUACUGAUUUCACUUUUAUAUGUAGCCCAGGGAGAGAUGUUAACUACCAGGUUUGGUAGACACUGUUGGUGGGCAAUAAUUUUCUCCAGAACCACAGAGAAGACUUAGAUUUAAUAAGGAACUUUCACUCUUGGGCCAAGAAGUAAAAAAAUUGGCACUCUCAGUUUAUGAUAGGUAAGAAAGACCAUGGAAAACUGAGAGUGUGAGGAGAGGAGAGAAGCUGAUUCCUUGCAAUUCAUCUGGUGGUUUAUAAUCUAAUCUAACCCAAUGAGCAUUUAUUAAAGAAUUAAUAUGUGAAAAGAAAUAUACUUGGAAUAGAAUGACAUGACAAAUAGUUCUUUCCCUUAAGGAGUUUACAGUCUAACAAGGUUUACAAUAUAUACACAGUUAAGUAUGUAACAGGAAAAAGAGAGCACUAACAAUUAGGGGGAGAUGAGGAGAGAUGAACCAAGACUUAAAGAAGAAAGCAAGUGAUUCUGAAAAGUAGAAGUGUGGAAGGAGGACAUUUCAAACAUGGAGGACAACCUGUGCAAAGACAUGGAGAUCCACUUUUCAAGAAAUUUUAGAGAAAGAUGUUACCAGUGACCUGGACUGGGAAAACAGAUUUGCUAGAGAAAAUGCUCUGAGGAUCAACAUGAUUCCAGAAGACCUAAGAAGAGGAAGAUGUGGAUGUCCUAAAAAAUCAGACAACUUCAUCAUGAGUCCUUGGAUGUAACAGACUGAAUUGUGAAGGUUGGGUCACCCAUCCCUUCCAUUUCUUCUUAUUUUAUUUGUUUGUAAGACCCAUGUCCCAGAAAGAGAGUACCCCUUAAAUACUCUCCAUCAAUAUGUCAGUCAAUCACUUUUUAACAUCAUAUUAAAAAAAACCGCAAGCUCCAGAAUUAAACUCUUUGUGAAAUGUAUAGUACUUUUGGGUUCUAAUGUACUCUGAUGAGUCAAUUUUGAAAUUUAUAAAUAUCACAUAUGUAGUGAUUCAUUGAGGAGACAGUAUCUCCCAACAAAUUGACAAGGGGAAGGGGAGUGAGAAGAUUAAUGUUGAAUUGUAUUAUUUGUUAAUAAUAUUUUUAUGGGAAACCAUUCAUUUCUUUAAACCUGAAUUUGAAAGUUAAGCAGAAUUAGUCCAAUUACUAAAGCUAAAGUAAUUUACUCCCAGGCCUCAAGGUAUCUAUCUAACUGGUCCAUCUAAUCUUUUGCUUUUUGUUAAAGACUUUGGAAGGAUAUGUCACUAAGGCAUUUGAAACUAUUGGAUCAGCAACAUUUCUCUAAGUUUAAGUGAAGCUUUAGGUAUUCAUAUCUAAAGUGAAAAUUCACCCACCCACCUGCCUUUACCCUGCAUCCAUGAUGAAGUUAUAGGGGAGGAGUUGAGAUCUCAAAGUCUACUUCCUCUUUCAAAAUAUCCACUAAUUGGGACUGCCAGGAGAGGUCUAGAGGACAAACUGUCAAGCCAAUCAGAAAGAAGAUAUACCUCCCUAAUAAAAGAGAGGGUCUGGCCUUAUGGAGGUCUUUC
ensembl:lncRNA